GACGAACGCUGGCGGCGUGCUUAACACAUGCAAGUCGAACGAUGAAGUUCCUUCGGGAAUGGAUUAGUGGCGAACGGGUGAGGAACACGUGAGAAACCUGCCUUUCAUUUUGGGAUAACUCCGGGAAACCGGGGCUAAAACCGAAUACUCCGUCACGGCGGCAUCGCUGAGCCGGGAACAAAGUUUGAUGAAAGAUGGUCUCGGGGCCUAUCAUCUAGUUGGGGAGGAAAUGGCUCACCAAGGCAACGAAGGGUAGCCGGCCUGAGAGGGCGACCGGCCACACUGGGACUGAGACACGGCCCAGACUCCUACGGGAGGCAGCAGUGGGGAAUAUUGGGCAAUGGGCGCAAGCCUGACCCAGCGACGCCGCGUGAGGGAUGAAGGCCUUCGGGUUGUAAACCUCUUUCAGUAGGGAAGAAGCGAAAGUGACGGUACCUAAAGAAGAAGCACCGGCUAACUAUGUGCCAGCAGCCGCCGUAA
rnacentral:rRNA from 1 species